rnacentral:misc_RNA from 1 species
GGAAGGAUCAUUAAUGAUUGCGAAUAGUUGCCUUCGGUGCUGGCUUUGCAAGUGCACGUUGGUGGCUUUCAUCCGAUACCCUUGUGAACCUCUGGCCUCUCGCGAGCUUCGGCUUGCAGAGGAAUUUUACACAUACUCAAAUGUAAUGAAAUGUAUUAUUGUGCGCAAGCACUAAUGUACAACUUUCAACAACGGAUCUCUUGGCUCUCGCAUCGAUGAAGAACGCAGCGAAAUGCGAUAAGUAAUGUGAAUUGCAGAAUUCAGUGAAUCAUCGAAUCUUUGAACGCACCUUGCACCCUUUGGUAUUCCGAAGGGUAUGCUCGUUUGAGUGUCAUUGUACCCUCACACUCUCUGAUCAUUUGGAUUCAGGAGCGGUGGACUUGGGUGUUGCUGCUUUCCUUGUGGCUCACCUUAAAUGCAUUAGUGCAUCUCUUGGUUGGACAUAGUACAGCGUGAUAAGUGUCUUCGCUGGCUCCUCGAAAGAGGGUGGCUAAUCAAGGGCUCUGUGCUUUCAAACUGUCUGCGGACAAUCUCUGACAACUUGACCUCAAAUCGAGUAGGAUUACCCGCUGAACUUAAGCAUAUCAAUAAGCGGAGGAAAAGAAACUAACAAGGAUUCCCCUAGUAACGGCGAGUGAAGAGGGAAGAGCUCAAAUUUUGAAUCGGGCGUGUUCCAUGUCUGAAUUGUAAUCUAGAGAAGUGUUUUCGGUGACGGACCGUGCAUAAGUCUCCUGGAAUGGAGCGUCAUAGAGGGUGAGAAUCCCGUAUAUGGCACGGACUGCCGUUGCUCUGUGAUACACUCUCGACGAGUCGAGUUGUUUGGGAAUGCAGCUCUAAAUGGGUGGUAAAUGCCAUCUAAAGCUAAAUAUUGGCGAGAGACCGAUAGCGAACAAGUACCGUGAGGGAAAGAUGAAAAGCACUUUGGAAAGAGAGUGAAACAGUACGUGAAAUUGUUGAAAGGGAAACGCUUGAAGUCAGUCACGCCGUUCGGGACUCAGCCUUGCUUCUGCUUGGUUUACUUCCCGUUGGGUGGGUCAACAUCAGUUUUGGUCGGAGGAGAAAGGCUUGGGGAAGGUGGCAGCAUUCGUGCUGUGUUAUAGCCCUUUGUUGUAUACUUCGACUGGGACUGAGGACCGCAGCACGCCUUUGGCCGGGGUUCGCCCACGUACGUGCUUAGGAUGUUGGCAUAAUGGCUUUAAGCGACCCGUCUUGAAACACGGACCAAGGAGUCUAACAUGUGCGCGAGUGUUUGGGUGUUAAACUCGGACGCGAAAUGAAAGUGAAAAGUUGGGAACACUCUUGUGUGCACCGACGCCCGGAGCUGACCUUUUGUGACGCAUCUGCGGUAGAGCGUAUAUGUUGGGACCCGAAAGAUGGUGAACUAUGCCUGAAUAGGGUGAAGCCAGAGGAAACUCUGGUGGAGGCUCGUAGCGAUUCUGACGUGCAAAUCGAUCGUCAAAUUUGGGUAUAGGGGCGAAAGACUAAUCGAACCAUCUAGUAGCUGGUUCCUGC